rfam:Oryctolagus cuniculus chromosome 12, whole genome shotgun sequence.
GGCGCUGUGGCUCAGUGGGUUAAAGCCCUGGCCUGAAGUGCCGGUAUCCCAUAUGGGCACUGGUUCUAGUCCAGGCUGCUCUU